UACCGCGACUGCUGGCACAGAGUUAGUCGCCACUUCCUUUGGGAAUGAUCAGUGUUUCUGUUCCCUGACAGUGGUUUACACGUCGAAGACGCUUCAUCCCACACGCGGCAUUGCUCCGUCAGGCUUUCGCCCAUUGCGGAAGAUUCGUUACUGCAGCCUCCCGUAGGAGUCCGGGCAGUGUCUCAGUCCCGAUGCGGCGGGCCAUGCUCUCACACCCGCUACCCGUCUUCGCCUUGGUGAACCAUUACCUCACCAACUAGCUGAUAGGACGAUCGCCGCUCCCGAGGCGGUAAACCUUUCCUCCGUAGAGCACAUGGGGUAUUACCGUCAGUUUCCCGACGCUAUCCCCCACCUCGGGGCACGUUCGAUCGUAUUACUCGCCCUUUCGCCACUUUCAAUCGUUCGACUUGCAUGUUUUAACCAUGCCGCCAGCGUUCAAUCUGAGCCAUGAUCAAACUC
rnacentral:rRNA from 1 species